GACUCCAUCGUCCAUGGGUAAGAUCGCGGACUUUCAAUCCGUGGAACUGGGUUCGAGUCCCAGUGGAGUCACCA
rnacentral:tRNA from 1 species